CCGACUGGGGCGAAAACUACGUCCGCCGGGCUCCGGGUUCCGCUCGCGUUCUGAGUCGCGGUUCCUUGCCGCGCUUGUCUUUCCUGCAUCUCGGAUCGGCGUGUUUAGGGAGGUGAGCGUGUUGGCCUCACGAAGUUGUGAACGUCACACGCUAGGAAAAGGCGAAGUGACACCGCUGGUCGCUGGGCGGGUCUGAAGGUCCCCCUCGGCCACAUCCUGGCCCCGGGGUGGCGAAGGAUUCUCCCGGCGGUGUGCAGUAGUCUCCAGUGGAGGCUCCAGUGUGGGCUUGGUGCCAUCUGGCCUCAGAAGGGGGCCUAAGCCGGGCGUGGUGGCUCACGCCUGUCAUCCCAGCACUUAGGAUACCGAGGCAGGAAGAUCGCCGUGAGUUCGAGGCCAGCCUGCACUACAGAGUGAGAGCCUGUCUCGAGAAAAAAAAAAACAGCGUAGCUCUGAGGCUGGGCCAGAAGUUGCAUAGCUGAAAGACGGUGUUUCAAGAUGUGUCCUUUCGGAAUAUAUGAAGAAAUACUGCAAGAGCCCGUCAUUUUUGUAUCCAACCAAUUAAACCUGUUUGGUAGUCAGGCGCGGUGAUGUGCACCUGUAGCUCCAGCUGCUUGGGAGGCUGAGGCAAGAAGACAAGUUCCAGACCAGCCAGGGCAUUUCGAGACCCCCAUCUUUUUUUUUUUUUUUUGUAUCGGGGAUCGAACACGGGUCUUUGCGCUUGUGAGGCAGGCGGCGGAGACCCCCAUCUUUAAAAAAAAUAUUUUUUGCUCUACGUGGGACGGAAAGCUGGGGGUGCUGGGGCUUGAACCAAGGCCCCUAGAGAAUGCACUGUGCCGCCAAGCUACCCCUCACAGUCUCUGUCACCUGGCCUGCAGUGGAACUGCUUUGUCUCCCUGGCUCUCUGGUAGCUAGGGUGGCAGAUGCACAUCACAGACCUAGCUCUUCUUGCACGAUGACCACCAAGAGAUGGAGGAGAGGGAAGGAGAUGUGAGAAGAAUUAAGAUGUGUUACAAAUUUGUGCCAGCUGCCCACAAUGUAAUUAUCAUGUACUGCAAACAUGGACUAAUAAUUUUUUUUUUAAUAAAAUUUUUUUUAAAAGGGUACCAAUCGUACCUGAUUAGGGCCUCGGCUUAUGAUCUCAUUUAACCCUAAUUAUCUCUCUCAAGGCCCUAUUCCCAAAUGCAAUCUGAGAUACACCCUAGGUCCUAUUGAACAUUUCUUUUUAAAAUGUACUUUUUGGGCUGGGUAUUUAGCUCAGUGGCACUGUGCCUGCCUUGCAAGCUCAAGGUCCUGAGGUCAAUCCCUGUUACUGAAAAAAAAAAAACUAGUAAUAAAAUGUUCAUUCUAUUAUGAAUAAUUUCAGAUGUCCACAGAAUGGAUAGUAUUUCUUAGGAGAGACAAUCUGUCACCAACCCGCGCGUCCCUACAAAUUGUUACUGGCUAUGUCAAACAUACAUGAGCCAGGGCUGUUCCUCAGGGUUGGGGUUUCAGCAGGCAGUCUUGGGAGAUAAGUAUUAUGUCCUGCAGUAUGAAAAAGCUGACUUAGCUUUCACUUAUUUUAAAAAAUGAAGUAUUAACCAGGCAUGGUGGUGCACACCUGUGAUUCCAGCACUUAGGAGGCUGAAGCAGAAGGAUUACCCCGAGAUCAAGGUCAGCCUGAGCUACAUAGGGAGACCCUGUCUCAACAAAACAAAACGUGGACAGCAGAGAACCUGUGCCUGCCUGCGUCCUUUUUUCUUUAUUGCUCACUGUGUAGCCCAGGUUGACUUUGAACUCACAGUGGUCCUGCCUCAGUCCCCUGAAUGCUAAGAUUACAAAGUGUGUGCCACCACGCCUGGCUAGAACCUGUGUCCCUGAUGAUGGAACUGAGCCCCUCCAUCAGUCACCUCUGAGACACGCCCUCCCAGAGAACAUCCUGUUAUGUGAGAUGACACAUUUCCUUGGAGUUGCAGUCAAGACUGGAGCCAAGCACCUUGCUUCUACUUCCUCAGGGCUUGGAGCCAACCCAUGCUGGUGGGCUCUACCUCAGAUCACAGUUGCUGUGGUCUCAACUCUGUUUCCCACUCACUUGCCUCUUGGAGAGCCAGAGCUCACAGGGCACGCUUUGUAGUUCAGUCUGUGUUUAAACCUGCUUGUCUGUAGUCCAGGCUGGGCUUGAACUCAGAGUGAACCUCCUGCCUCAGCCUCCCAAGUGCUGGGAUUACAGACAUGCUGUACCACUCUCAGG
rnacentral:lncRNA from 1 species